CGGACGGGUGAGUAACGCGUGGGAACGUGCCCUUCUCUACGGAAUAGCCCCGGGAAACUGGGAGUAAUACCGUAUACGCCCUUUGGGGGAAAGAUUUAUCGGAGAAGGAUCGGCCCGCGUUGGAUUAGGUAGUUGGUGGGGUAAUGGCCCACCAAGCCGACGAUCCAUAGCUGGUUUGAGAGGAUGAUCAGCCACACUGGGACUGAGACACGGCCCAGACUCCUACGGGAGGCAGCAGUGGGGAAUCUUAGACAAUGGGGGCAACCCUGAUCUAGCCAUGCCGCGUGAGUGAUGAAGGCCUUAGGGUUGUAAAGCUCUUUCAGCUGGGAAGAUAAUGACGGUACCAGCAGAAGAAGCCCCGGCUAACUCCGUGCCAGCAGCCGCGGUAAUACGGAGGGGGCUAGCGUUGUUCGGAAUUACUGGGCGUAAAGCGCACGUAGGCGGACUGGAAAGUCAGAGGUGAAAUCCCAGGGCUCAACCUUGGAACUGCCUUUGAAACUAUCAGUCUGGAGUUCGAGAGAGGUGAGUGGAAUUCCGAGUGUAGAGGUGAAAUUCGUAGAUAUUCGGAGGAACACCAGUGGCGAAGGCGGCUCACUGGC
rnacentral:rRNA from 1 species